rnacentral:rRNA from 1 species
UGGGGAAUAUUGCACAAUGGGCGAAAGCCUGAUGCAGCAACGCCGCGUGAGUGAUGAAGGUCUUCGGAUUGUAAAGCUCUGUCUUUUGGGACGAUAAUGACGGUACCAAAGGAGGAAGCCACGGCUAACUACGUGCCAGCAGCCGCGGUAAUACGUAGGUGGCGAGCGUUGUCCGGAUUUACUGGGCGUAAAGGGUGCGUAGGCGGAUGUUUAAGUGAGAUGUGAAAUACCCGGGCUUAACUUGGGUGCUGCAUUUCAAACUGGAUAUCUAGAGUGCAGGAGAGGAGAAUGGAAUUCCUAGUGUAGCGGUGAAAUGCGUAGAGAUUAGGAAGAACACCAGUGGCGAAGGCGAUUCUCUGGACUGUAACUGACGCUGAGGCACGAAAGCGUGGGUAGCAAACAGGAUUAGAUACCCUGGUAGUCCACGCCGUAAACGAUGAGUACUAGGUGUAGGAGGUAUCGACCCCUUCUGUGCCGCAGUAAACACAUUAAGUACUCCGCCUGGGAAGUACGAUCGCAGGAUUAAAAAC